GGACGGGUGAGUAAUGUCUGGGAAACUGCCUGAUGGAGGGGGGUAACUACUGGAAACGGUAGCUAAUACCGCAUAACGUCGCAAGACCAAAGAGGGGGACCUUCGGGCCUCUUGCCAUCGGAUGUGCCCAGAUGGGAUUAGCUAGUAGGUGGGGUAACGGCUCACCUAGGCGACGAUCCCUAGCUGGUCUGAGAGGAUGACCAGCCACACUGGAACUGAGACACGGUCCAG
rnacentral:rRNA from 1 species